rnacentral:rRNA from 1 species
AUUGAACGCUGGCGGCAUGCCUUACACACGCAAGUCGAACGGCGGCAUGAUCUAGCUUGCUAGAUUGAUGGCGAGUGGCGAACGGGUGAGUAAUACAUCGGAACGUGCCCUGUAGUGGGGAAUAACUAGUCGAAAGGUUAGCUAAUACCGCAUACGACCUGAGGGUGAAAGUGGGGGACCGCAAGGCCUCAUGCUAUAGGAGCGGCCGAUGUCUGAUUAGCUAGUUGGUGGGGUAAAGGCCCACCAAGGCGACGAUCAGUAGCUGGUCUGAGAGGACGAUCAGCAACACUGGGACUGAGACACGGCCCAG